rnacentral:rRNA from 1 species
UACGUAGGUGGCAAGCGUUGUCCGGAAUUAUUGGGCGUAAGCGCGCGCAGGUGGUUCCUUAAGUCUGAUGUGAAAGCCCACGGCUCAACCGUGGAGGGUCAUUGGAAACUGGGGAACUUGAGUGCAGAAGAGGAAAGUGGAAUUCCAAGUGUAGCGGUGAAAUGCGUAGAGAUUUGGAGGAACACCAGUGGCGAAGGCGACUUUCUGGUCUGUAACUGACACUGAGGCGCGAAAGCGUGGGGAGCAAACAGGG